GGAUUGCCCCAGUAACGGCGAGUGAAGCGGCAAUAGCUCAAAUUUGAAAUCUGGCCCCCUUUGGGGUUCGAGUUGUAAUUUGCAGAGGAUGCUUCGGCGUCGACCCCGGGUCAAGUCCCCUGGAACGGGGUGCCCCAGAGGGUGAGAGCCCCGUAUCCACCUGGGUGAUCUUCGCCGGGUGAAGCUCCUUCGACGAGUCGAGUUGUUUGGGAAUGCAGCUCUAAGCGGGAGGUAAAUUUCUUCUAAAGCUAAAUAUCGGCCAGAGACCGAUAGCGCACAAGUAGAGUGAUCGAAAGAUGAAAAGCACUUUGGAAAGAGAGUUAAAAAGCACGUGAAAUUGUUGAAAGGGAAGCUCUUGCCGCCAGACUUGCCGUGGAUGUUCAGCCGCCUCCCGGGGCGGUGUACUCUUCCCCCGGCAGGCCAGCGUCGGUUUGGGCGACCGGAUAAAGGUCCUGGGGAUGUGGCACCCCUCGGGGUGUGUUAUAAUCCGGGGCUGAAUGCGGUCAGCCCGGUCCGAGGAAUGCGUUCGCGAGGACGCUGGCGUAAUGGCCGUAAGCGACCCGUCUUGAAACACGGACCAAGGAGUCUAACAUCUGUGCGAGUGCUUGGGUAUCAAACCCAUGCGCGUAAUGAAAGUGAACGGAGGUGGGAACCCCCUCGAGGGGUGCACCAUCGACCGAUCCUGAUGUGCUCGGAUGGAUUUGAGUAAGAGCAUAGCUGUUGGGACCCGAAAGAUGGUGAACUAUUCCCGGAUAGGGUGAAGCCAGAGGAAACUCUGGUGGAGGCUCGCAGCGGUUCUGACGUGCAAAUCGAUCGUCAAAUCUAGGAAUAGGGGCGAAAGACU
rnacentral:rRNA from 1 species